UGCGGCGCUUUCGUUCAUUCGUCGUUCUGCGCCCGGUGCGCAUGAUUAUCGUGAAUACGUGUGUUCGCGGUUCGGUUUUAACGUGUGUCGCGUGUUACCCUGCACGAUCGAUCGUCUCUGAAAAUAAUAGUACUCGUAAAAUUGAUUCUUGAUCGUCGACGUAAGAACCAUUACCAUCGUGUCAAAGAAAAGUGCAUCGUUCAGAGGUGAAAGGACAAUUCGAACGUGAAAAGUGUUCGGAACGAUAUCUGGUUUGAGGUUAUAGUGUUAGGCAGCGUAUUUCGAUAAGGAAGGUGCAAGGAUCGGGAUCUUUGAGUUAUAUAUCGUAUAGUGAUUUUGAAUGAAUUUCGACGUAUUAUCGAUCGAAUGGAUGAUACGAAACAGUAAGAUAAGUGCGUACGAAGGACGAGAAUAUUGACGUGCUCGCGCAAUGUGAUUUUUUCAAAUACAGGAAAUGCCGCGAUUCCGUUGGGCAUUGUGAAAGGUCAGGUUAGUUACGAGCGAUCGACGCGAGUACUUUGAAGAUCACGUGUUCAGUGUGAAGUUACAUGUAUAUGAAUUGUUCGUGUUAGAUUUGAAUGCGCGUCCCUCUGUGUUUUGCGACAAGUACGUUCUCGAAAAGAAGAAUUCUGAAUCUGGAAACAAUCCAAUUGAACUUCGAGUGGCAUUUACGCAUUGGUUGUAUUUAUUCUCAAUUAGUGACGUCCUUGACCACGUUUUUGUGUAAACGUUCCACAGCGUAGCUGUAGCAAUACACACGGACAAUAGAAUUUAAAUAAACAUCGUUAAUCAGUUGGUGUAUCAGUGUAAUGUCGUGUAACGAAGUGUAAACAACAAGUUUGCGAAACAUCGACUGCCUUCGAUGAAUUUGUACACCGGUAACUGGAUUACAGCGAAACAUGUUUGUGUUUCGUUGAAGAAAUUAGAUUAUCACGGGAGAAACUCAUCUACGAAUUAGUGAACCAUUCAACCCAUUGGUGAUUUCGACGGAUUGAAUACUCGUCGUUCCAGAGUUGGUAAGUUUAUAGAUUAUAUGCUUGGAAAAGGAU